rnacentral:rRNA from 1 species
GCGGUGGAUCAUGUUGUUUAAUUCGAUGAUACGCGAAGAACCUUACCAGGUCUUGACAUCCCCCGCGAUGCUUUAGAGAUAAAGCGGAGGUAUUCGGGGAGACAGGUGGUGCAUGGUUGUCGUCAGCUCGUGUCGUGAGAUGUUGGGUUAAGUCCCGCAACGAGCGCAACCCCUAUUGCUAGUUACCAUCAUUAAGUUGGGGACUCUAGCGAGACUGCCAGUGAUAAACUGGAGGAAGGUGGGGAUGACGUCAAAUCAUCAUGCCCCUUAUGACCUGGGCUACAAACGUGAUACAAUGGCUGGAACAAAGGGAUGCGAAGCAGUGAUGUGGAGCGAAACCCAUAAAAACAGUCUCAGUUCGGAUUGAAGUCUGCAACUCGACUUCAUGAAGUCGGAAUCGCUAGUAAUCGUGAAUCAGAAUGUCACGGUGAAUACGUUCCCGGGCCUU